UACGUAGGUGGCAAGCGUUGUCCGGAUUUACUGGGCGUAAAGGGCGCGUAGGCGGUCAGCACAAGUCAGUUGUGAAAUCUCCGGGCUUAACCCGGAAAGGUCAACUGAUACUGUGCGACUAGAGUGCGGAAGGGGCAACUGGAAUUCUCGGUGUAGCGGUGAAAUGCGUAGAUAUCGAGAGGAACACCAAUGGCGAAGGCAGCUCGCUGGGACGUGACUGACGCUGAGACGCGAAAGCGUGGGGAGCAAACAGG
rnacentral:rRNA from 1 species